UGGGGAAUCUUGCACAAUGUGGGAAACCCUGAUGCAGCGACGCCGCGUGAGCGAUGAAGGUUUUCGAAUCGUAAAGCUCUGUCCUAUGGGAAGAUAAUGACGGUACCAUGGGAGGAAGCCCCGGCUAACUACGUGCCAGCAGCCGCGGUAAUACGUAGGGGGCGAGCGUUGUCCGGAAUUACUGGGCGUAAAGGGUUCGCAGGCGGCAUGGCAAGUCCGAUGUAAAAGGCGAAGGCUCAACCUUCGUAAGCAUCGGAAACUGUCAAGCUUGAGUGAAGGAGAGGCAAGUGGAAUUCCUAGUGUAGCGGUGGAAUGCGUAGAUAUUAGGAGGAAUACCGGUGGCGAAGGCGACUUGCUGGACUUCAACUGACGCUGAGGAACGAAAGCGUGGGUAGCAAACAGG
rnacentral:rRNA from 1 species